rnacentral:rRNA from 1 species
CCGUGAGGUGACUGCGGAGGAUCAUUAAUGAGUUCUUGAUAUGGGUUGCAGCUGGUUCUCUUUAACCAAGAGAACAAUGUGCUCGCUCUGUUCAAUCCACUCUACACCUGUGCACUUAUUGUGGGUGUUGAUUGCGAGGAGGGGGGACUUGUUUCCCUUCCUUCAAGUCAACCUCACGUUUUACUACAAACUCAGUAUUAGAAUGUGUAUUGCAAUAUAAUGCAUUUAUAUACAACUUUCAGCAACGGAUCUCUUGGCUCUCGCAUCGAUGAAGAACGCAGCGAAAUGCGAUAAGUAAUGUGAAUUGCAGAAUUCAGUGAAUCAUCGAAUCUUUGAACGCACCUUGCGCUCCUUGGUAUUCCGAGGAGCACGCCUGUUUGAGUGUCAUGAAAUUCUCAACUUACACAUCCUUGUAACAAAGGUUGUAUAAGCUUGGACUUUGGAGGUCUCAUUGUCGGUUUUUAACUCCGGCUCCUCUUAAAAGCAUUAGCUUGGUUUAUUUUAUGGACCAGCUUUCAGUGUGAUAGUUGUCUACACUGUGGCUGUGAAGUAUGUUUGUGACCAGCUUCUAAUCAAUUGAUAGCCCAUUUGAUUGGGCUCUAUCAUUCUUGACAAUCUGACCUCAAAUCAGGUGGGACUACCCGCUGAACUUAAGCUAUCAAAAAGGGGGGAGGAAAAAUUAGUA